CCUUAGCUCUCUUCGAAGAUUUUGGGAAUGGUGUCAUGAGGCCUUGAGGACACAAGAUGGAAAAAUGAAGGGGGUCUCAGGAGAUCGUUCUCUGCUGAAACUGCACUGUCUACCAUCAGAACAUGUAGCUCCAUCAGCUUGAGUCUGGGUUUGAAAAGAAGGAAGUCAUUGUGAGAUGGACAGAUAUCCACAAGAAAGCCUUCCAAUGACAGGCACUGGACCCUGGACACCUGUCUCCCUGCUCAGAAUGGCUAGGGAGGGUGAAGGGUCACCAGGACUCCCAUCCUUAAUUUGGACACGGUUCCAAAUGACUUUGCAUAUGACUUCUACCUCAAAAGGUUUAUAGUCUAAUAGGGGAGAGAGAUGAAGUUCAUGUGACACAGAGACAAUAAUAACAAUGACUUCUG